rnacentral:rRNA from 1 species
CCUACGGGUGGCAGCAGUGGGGAAUAUUGCGCAAUGGGCGAAAGCCUGACGCAGCGACGCCGCGUGAGGGAUGAAGGUCUUCGGAUCGUAAACCUCUGUCAGCAGGGAAGAAAGGUCACUGUGCUAAUCAGCAGUGAAUUGACGGUACCUGCAAAGGAAGCACCGGCUAACUCCGUGCCAGCAGCCGCGGUAAUACGGAGGGUGCGGGCGUUAAUCGGAAUUAUUGGGCGUAAAGGGGUAGUAGGCGGUAUGUCAAGUCAAGGGUGAAAGCCCCGGGCUCAACGGGGGAACUGCCUUUGGAACUGGGAAACUGGAGUGGGUGAGAGGAUAGUGGAAUUCCAGGUGUAGGAGUGAAAUGCGUAGAUAUCUGGAGGAACAGCAGUUGCGAAGGCGACUAUCUGGCACAUAACUGACGCUGAGGAGCGAAAGCGUGGGUAGCAAACAGGAUUAGAUACCCGUGUAGUC